rnacentral:lncRNA from 1 species
UAUCCUGCAGAAACAGGGAAAUGUGGAUUAUUAUGUGGAUUAUAAUUAGUGGAUAUUCUUUUGUCGGGGGUUUAACCCACUUGGGUCGAUGGACACGUCGGUGGAUUGAUCUAAGUUCCAAUCAGAAUCCUUCAUUUAAGAGAGAGAGAGAGACGUCUGUUUUUCUAUUGGAUGUGUCUCAAUCCACCGCAUCCGACCGAUGUCGCACGUUCUGAGGUGAAAGGUAACAGACCAGGAGACAUCCCAUCUGGGGUGAAAGGUGAGACCAGGAGACAUCCCAUCUGGGGUGAAAGGUGAGACCAGGAGACAUCCCAUCUGGGGUGAAAGGUAACAGACCAGGAGACAUCCCAUCUGGGGUGAAAGGUGACAGACCAGGAGACAUCCCAUCUGGGGUGAAAGGUGACAGAGAGGUGUUUGUCAGACCAGGAGACAUCCCAUCUGGGGUGAAAGGUGAGACCAGGAGACAUCCCAUCUGGGGUGAAAGGUGACAGAGCCAGAGCGAUGUUUGUCAGACCAGGAGACAUCCCGGAA